GAUGAACGCUGACAGAAUGCUUAACACAUCAGCAAUUGAUUGGUGGCGGACGGGUGAGUAACGCGUCAAGAACUUACCUCACAGUUAGGGACAACAUUUGGAAACGAAUGCUAAUACCUAAUUCUGUGCGAGAGCUUUGCGUCCCAUGAGCUAGUUGGAGAGGUAACGGCUCACCAAGGCGAGGAUGGGUAGCCGGCCUGGGAGGGUGAUCGGCCACAAAGGGACUGGGACACGUCCCUGACUCCUACGGGGGGAAGCAGUGGGGAAGAUUGGACAAUGGACCAAAGUCUGAGCCAGCAAUUCUGUGUGCACGAUGAAGUUUUCGGAAUGAAAAGUGCUUUCAGUUAGGAAGCGGUACCAACAGAAGAAGUGACGGCUAAAUACGUGCCAGCAGCCGCGGUAAUAC
rnacentral:rRNA from 1 species